GCGGAAGGCAGACGCUUAAAGACAGAGCCACCCAGGUGCCCCGGAAAACGACGUUAUAAGAGAAAUGUUGCCUACCUGACUGUAGGGGAAGAAGCAACUUCAAGUUGAACGGCAGGGUCUGUGGGUACCAGUAAGACACUCCUCAGGAGGAAACAUGUAAACAAUAUUUCCAUAACUCAGGCAAGGAAAGCUGGAUCAAAAGAGAGCUUCAGCUUGGAUGCAAUGUCUGGGGACAUAGAGAUUAGACACUGAUCUGGGAAGAAGGGCAUGCAAAAAGGUUAAAAGAAAGAAGAAAGGAGUGCAACGACUACAGAUGACAAAGUUUUAAAAAGACUUGGUAAAGUGAAGAGAAAGGGAGAGAAAGAGAGAGAAUGACGAGAGAAUAAACUACAUCAUUUCCCUUUGGAUUAGUUAAGGUGUUUGUCCCACAUUUGCUUGAUUAUCAUAAGGAUCCCUUAAGAUGAUU